rnacentral:rRNA from 1 species
GGGCCUUGUACACACCGCCCGUCACGUCACGAAAGUCGGUAACACCCGAAGCCGGUGGCCCAACCCCUUGUGGGAGGGAGCUGUCGAAGGUGGGACUGGCGAUUGGGACGAAGUCGUAACAAGGUAGCCGUACCGGAAGGUGCGGCUGGAUCACCUCCUUUCU